AUUGAACGCUGGCGGAAUGCUUUACACAUGCAAGUCGAACGGCAGCACGGACUUCGGUCUGGUGGCGAGUGGCGAACGGGUGAGUAAUAUAUCGGAACGUGCCCAGUCGUGGGGGAUAACGUAGCGAAAGCUACGCUAAUACCGCAUACGAUCUACGGAUGAAAGCGGGGGAUCGCAAGACCUCGCGCGAUUGGAGCGGCCGAUAUCAGAUUAGGUAGUUGGUGAGGUAAAGGCUCACCAAGCCGACGAUCUGUAGCUGGUCUGAGAGGACGACCAGCCACACUGGGACUGAGACACGGCCCAGACUCCUACGGGAGGCAGCAGUGGGGAAUUUUGGACAAUGGACGCAAGUCUGAUCCAGCCAUUCCGCGUGCAGGACGAAGGCCUUCGGGUUGUAAACUGCUUUUGUACAGAACGAAAAGGUCUCUAUUAAUACUAGGGGCUCAUGACGGUACUGUAAGAAUAAGCACCGGCUAACUACGUGCCAGCCGCCGCGGUAA
rnacentral:rRNA from 1 species